ensembl:lncRNA
AUUAACAGUAAACUUUUAAAUGAAAAGUCUAUAGACUGAAGCAGCACAAAUAAUUAUAAAAUCAACAUGAGGAGAUUUUUUUAAUGUAGCUUAUAAAGCAGGAACAGUGGCACUGUGUGUUGUUUCCUGUAUUGAAAGCAGCUAUUAUUUGCCACUUCUACAACACUGCAGCUUGAAUGAGACAUUAAAAAUAGUGUGUCUCAUUUGCCAGGAUCUGAAGCUGCCCAGCUGGAAGAGCAGAGAAUGGAAGUGUUGAGGGCAUUCAUGAGCAAGACAUGCCAGAUUCUGCUAUCACUCCUACUGGUAGCAGAUUGCUGAUGCACAAAGAGGAAAACAUCUCAGCCAGAAAAACUUCCUAGGCCAUGGCAGUAAAAUGGACAGAGAAGAGAGUCACCAGAAAGGAAGCGAGGAAACCAGAAACAAGACCACUGACACUUUGUUUCAUCCAAGGAAGUGGCAAAUCCUUUGACCUCCAAAAGGCAAACACCACCAGGAACUGCUCAGGGAACUUAGAAAGCUCAGCCUUCAAUCAAAUUGGCUUGAAACUGGCUAACUGAUUCAGAAGUUACUGGGAAGACACAAAGGUACACAAGUACAGUGUGAUAAUACAACCUCUGCUUGUUAUCAAAGCCAGGCUAAAAGAUAGUCUGAUUACUCCAAAGAAGAUAACAGAAACUGUCAGGAAUUGAUUGUUAUUUAUGGUCUGAUUUCAAGGUAGACUCUAAUUUACUUAAAAUACAUAUAUAUAUAUAUAUAUAUUUCAAAUCCAAGUUUGCACCCUGUAGACGUUUUAAAUAGUUAUGAAUUUGAAGAACUCUAAAUUUGCAGGAUUUGUUGAGAUUGAUUUGGAAGAAAACCUAUAAAAUUUAGAAACUAUGCAUUUCUUUUGACAACUAAUAAACUUGUAACUUCUAAUAACAGUGGGUCUCAAGCAAUCAAAAUAUAGCACUUUAAAAUACCUAUUUUAGCUAUUUUGUAGUACAAGAGUUUAGGAAAAAAAGUAUAUUAUUCCACACUAAAUGUUAUUAAAUGAAUGAUUCUCUAUGAAAACCAAAACCCUAAGGGAUUUUGUAUUAGAUUUGCAUAAAAAAAUCUUCACAUUUAUUCAAACUUUGCAGGUGCAUGAAAUAAACACAUUAUUUGAACACUACUGCCAAGCUUUGUGAAGGCUAAGGUGUAUUAUUAAAUUGUAGUGAAGCCUCUGGCUCAAGACACCAGAAACACUAGCACAACUCCAUUCAGUCAUUAGCACUGUGUUGGUAAAAAAAACUGGUUCACCAUCUAGAUGAAUAAUUCUCUGUGCUUUCAUCUCUGCCAUGCUGACUUGCUUUACUAAUUUGUUAUCCUCUUGAACGUUCAGAGGCAUUUUCACUUUUCUGUAUUUUCUAUCUUACAUUGCUUUCUGUUAAGUACCUGUAAGUGAUUCACUGGGGGAUGACAUAAGGUUUUUUCUGAAAUUGAACUAUUGCUUUGUUUGCUGUAGAGAAUAUUAAAUUAAAUCAGCUUCUAAGACAAAAAUGAGCAGUUCGUAUAAAACUUGCUCUGAAAGGUUAAUGAAUAUCAGAAAUCCUCCCAAGUGAAGGAAGGGAGACUAUACCUAGCCAAUAUAAAACUUAUGCAGCAAAACCUGCUCCUUUAAUGUAAUUCUUCUGAUUUCAGUGAGGUUACACUCAGAAUAAAUUUGACCUGAAUUAAUCAAACCUAUCCUAUUUUCAGGAGAGGUCCAAUAUCCAACAAGGAAACAAUACCCUUCACACGCCAGUAGUUUAUUGGCAAAGUCAAGGUCAUUGUGUGGUCAUAAAACAGUAUGGCUUAUUUCUGCUAUGACAUCUGUUUGACUAGCUCAAACCAAAAUUUUUUAUUAAGGCAUUUGAGGAGUAUAAAAUAUACACAAAAACUGAAAGCUACUACAAUAAGAGGAAAGUUCAUUGUGGAUUAAAUUAAUUCUGUAUUUAAGAAAAAAAUGUGAAUGAAUGAUGUUUUUGAUACCUUACAAGUGUUAGUUAUUAACCAGAGAGUGAGAUCAGUUCUCAUAGGAGAGUAACAGUCAGACCAAAAGAUGACAACACAGAAAUGUAACCUGUGCGUUUACCAUUCAGUCUUUUAUAAAAGGACCAGAAAAUAACUCUGGGUGCAAUUUCAUUUUAUUUAUUUAUUUUUUUAAGAAAUUCAGCAGUUGAGGUGUUCAGAGGCAGGAAGACAAUGAGACAAUUUGUAGCAAAUGACAGAUAAACCAUAAUUCUUAGAAAACAUAAUUGGAGUAACUUCGGUGACCUUUUCUAUACAAAGCUGAUCCUUUAUGUGGAAGACAUCUGUAUUUCCUUUGAGAAGAGCACCUGGAGGAAUUAAGCUCCUAUUUAAGAUACCUCAUCUGAAAGCCUAAAAAGUGAGCGCAUCCUGACCAGUGCAUCCUUUUGCCUUCACUGUGCAAACUUACUUUUCAUGUUUUUACAGAGUUAUUUUAGAUUUAUAUACAAAUAUGAAGUGCAAAAUGAAUGUAACCCAGCAUGUUUAUCCUAUUCAUAGUGUUGGAUGAGGCUCCGCUACAUCUAUGCUUCAGUAAAGAUUGUUAAUUUGGUAAAACUUUCAAGAUCAUGAAACACUGUCUGUGCACUGAGCCAAGCAGUCACAAAGCCUACAUCCCUUACAGAGCACAGCACAAGGGCAGGAUGGUGUUACAGCAGAAUACCACUGCACCAUUGUCAUACUUGCGCACUCCUUGCCAGGUAUCUGCCAGAAAGACCUGAGCCUGGGUUGCACUGACGUGUGUGCUGUCAUAGUUCAACCUGUGUUCUGUUUUGUUUUGGUUUUGUUUGUGGGUUGGUUUUUUUGUUUGUUUGUUUGUUUUGUUGUUGUUGUUUCAAUUUUUUUCUUUUGUUUGUUUUACAUUUUAAUGAAAGAAAAGCGUCCAAAUCUUCCAAUUCAAUUUAAAGAGUGGAUGAUAUGGGGUUGGAGGAAUACCCACAGCUAGACAUUGCUAAGGCUAUGAGGAUGUGAGGAGGAGAAAGGCCAAAAGCAAUGCUAGACAUAAGGCUGCCAUUUAAAACAUGUUGGUAUUAGACAACAGUCAUGAAGGGUAUCUCUUAGGCCAAGUCAUAUCUCUGUGCCAGGAGACGUUUACAUGAUACUUGUCAAGUUCCUUCAUCAGUUCUUGGAGUCAAUGCAGUUUCUUGGAAUCAGUGCAGUUUUAAGUUAUCCAGUGUAAAGAGAAUUUUCCUCUCUUUCUGGUGUAGUCUGGUGUAGCUCAGCAAACACUCCCACACUGCAUCUGGGGUAUCACUCCAUGCAUUCUUCCUCUCAGUCUCAUACUGCUGUAUGGGGAGGAGGAUUCAGCAGACAUUGGAGGUCAACUUCUUAUGGAACAACACAGUCACCACCAUUAACUAUGCAUUUUCACCAAAGGUGAACAAAAGCCUGCAUGUCGUGCUCAUCAUAAUCUGCACCAGCGGAGGUUAACCACUGUCAUCAGGGGACUAAUGUUUAGCCAGUGUAUCAAAAUCCAUAAACUUAUUUUCAAUAACCUGAGCUGGUACUGCACUGCCCUCUGUGCCCUGGUUUCAGCCCAGAUGGGGUUAAGAGCACACUGAUGAUCAGUUGGUGCUGAAGGCCAGGCCAGGCAGAGAAUAGCCACCCUGUGAUGGCACGAGUCAGGGGGCAGCCGCAGCAUGAGCUGUGCUGGGCUAAAUGUGGCCUGCAAGCCACAGCGUGGACAUGCCUGACUAAACAGACAAGGUACCCCUUUCCUCUUGUCUCUUUACCACUCUUCGCUGUCAGAUCAGAAACAAAAUACAUUAGUUGGUAGCCUGUGUUUUCCUAUCCUGAAAAGAAAUACAUUAGAAAAUGGAGUAAAAAGUAUGAGUAAAUGUUUCUCAUUGUGCUAUUUGUAUUCUGUCUUUUGCAGAGUAUAUUAUAAUGGAUAAAAGGAAUAUUACAUCACCAGAGGCAGAAAUUCAGUGCAUGGUUCACUGCAGAUUACAGAGCCUGAAAAAGCAAAACAAAGACAGUAAACAUGUUGCCUUUUGUUCAUACAACAUAACUAUAGCAGCAAUGACUAGUGGGAAAUUUCUCAACUAACCCUUCAAAUGUAUAUACAUUUUAUAAGCUUCUUGAAAAUUACAGUAAACUUGGAGAAUACUAUUUCUGCAAGCUUUUUGUACUUGAGUAACUCAACGACAGCAUCUUUAACAGAUUUUUACUGGCAUAUUAUAAAUGAUGAAUAUAUAUUAUAUCAACACAAAUGCCAAGAAAAAACAACAGAAACAACACAGCCCUCCCACCCAAAUCACAUAAUAUAAAGGCAAAUAGCAUUGCUUCCUCCUCACCAGAACUCAGUUGCAUGAUGUGCUUACAGGAAUCAAGCAAAACAGUGAUGUUCAUAUAGUUCAUACAAUUUUGAGUAUCAUAGAUAUGAGCAAGCUGAUUCCAGCUGAGACAUAAACUAUAUUCCCAUGUUUCUGUAUUCACACUAGGCUGGGCAAUCUGAGUAUUACUGUUGUGAUAUUGAGUCUUCUCAAUCGUAGUAAAAUUUUAAGUUCAUUUUUUUCUAACUGGAAUUCCUUCUGAUUUUUGUUCUUAAUUGAAAGAAAGCUAAAGCCCCACAAAUAAUUCUUCUCUACCUAGGUUAAGGCACUUGUUUUUUUUAUCUCAUUACAGAUUUGUAAAAGUAAUUAUUAACACUGCUUUCCUGCUUCUGUUUUAGGAACUAAGAAUAAAUUCCUGCUUACCGUUACAGCAGGAGUGGAGAGAAAAGCAUAUUUAAAAUCAGGUGAAAAAUAUGAGAUACAAAGGAAGACAGAGUUUGUUCUGCAACUGGCUUUACUGGUCUCUUCUAGGAGUUGCCCAAGUCUCCCUGUCUCAGCCUGAAUUCCAGGGGGAUGCCAUGCCACCAUAUCUACACAAAUAAUUGUGCUGUUUCCUUCACCUCAUUUGCAAUGUCACCAGAGGUCUGCAGUUUCCCAUUUUGAUCAAUCCUUCUUUUGAAUUAUCAUGCUCAGUUAGGGCUGUUGCCUGGGGUUAAGCAAGAACAUUUCCUAUUGUGCAGGUCCUCUUCCCAUCGUCUAGUGUGGAUGGUAGACACAGUAACCACAGGUUGCAGCAAAACAUUGGAUGAACAGAUAAUACUUGAGUAUUGAAGUUAAAAACAUGAAAAUUAGUCUCAAUCUUUCACUAUUAAUUUUCCUCCCCCCCCCCAAAAAAAAAAGAAAAAAAGAAAAAAAAAGAGUUUAUUGAGCUGCAAGCUGCAGGUGUCUUGCUUUUAAAUUGAGCUUUCAUUGCACUUUAUAUUUGUCCUUAGGUGGAUAACCUCUUUGCUCCAUAUAAAGACCCUACAAGUGAAAUUUUCACACUGUGCCAUUUUAAAAAAUUCUUCACUCUCAUCUUUCAAAUGUCUGUUUAGAGCUAGUCAUGCUAAAGCUUCUACUACUAAUCAAUGCAGAGAGCAUGUUCUGGUCAUUCACUGUGUCACCACUUUAAAAGGAGAAAAAGACAAACUACUGACAUCUUCAUAACAAGUUACACCAAACUGUAAAUCAGAGGAAAAUUAUUCAUGCUGUGUUCUGGAUGUGACAGAUUUAACUUCAGCCCAGGUUCUCUCUCAUGCUCCACCUGAAUUGUAAAGCAGAUAUCUCAAAUCUAAAAAUUCUUGACAGAGAUAAAAGAGAAAAACUACUCAUGCCAUCAGUGUGGACCAGAAUAUCAAAACACUUUCAGAUUUGCAGGAUAACCAAGACGGGUAUGUUCUACCCAUUCUUAUUCAUUUCUCCAGGUACCAGCACCCAGAUGCAGUAAAGGAGAAAUGAGUCAUGAAAACCCAACCCAUGAAAACCCAACCCAUGAAAACCUAGGCAUUAGGACAGAACAAAGAACAGUAUUUCUUUUGUACUGGGAAGUUAGAAGAGCCAUAACUCUAAUUUUUGCAGCCGGAGUGUCACCAAACAAAAGAGAAAAGAAAUGUUUAUUUGUUUUGUUUUGUUUACUUUCCUAAAUAAGUACUGGAUCUGUUAUUUCUAUCUUUUUUUACAGUAUUUGUGUGGCCUUCUUUGUCAUUUUCACAUGUUGAAAAUAUUUACAAAUAGAAAUAAUAUGCACUACUCCAUGUGACACAGCUUUCCUGUUAAUGAAUUGAUUUUCAAGAUCACACAAGAUGGUUUUUCUUUGGAUAUUUCAUUCCAAAACCCAGGCAAGUGACCCAGUACUCCCACCAAUAUCUCACUGACAGUCAUCCCACCUCAUGAAUAUACAUACACAAGCUAGCCCAGACUACCUACCUCUUAUCUUGCCUUUUCACCAGUGUUUCUGAACUUGUUGAACCUGUCUAGGUUAGAGUGAAACAGGUAAGGAAAUUACCUAAUUUAUAUUGUCUGGCUGUAUAUUUUCUAAGUCUGAAACAAACAAAUAUUUUAUUUUCAAUGACUUUUGAAUGAUUUUUAGUAUCAUUUUCAUGCUUCCAUUUUAUUUCAAGAUGCACAUGAUUUGCUAUAUUUCUGGAAAUAUGGAUAAGCAGUAAUAAAAACUAUUGUCCCAGGGAAAAACAAUAGCUAAAGCAUCUAGUAAUGAAAGAGACUGAAACAGAUCACCAUUGUCAAUCUAUCUUCAGGUAAUUCUCUCUUACAGGAAAUGUGGCUUGCUGAAUUAAUGAGCAACUCCUGGGAUUUUGGUUGGGCAAUCCAAGCCAAUAUCUAUGCUGGUUAAGAUCUUCACUGUCAAUGAAAACAGGAUUAUAUUUUGGAUUCACAGUCUGAACUAAAAACACCAAAGUAGAUGCCAGUGUGUUUGGAUCAGGCAAGUGUUCCUUCUUGGCACCCCCUUUUCUCCACUUUGAAAAUAAAUUUCAGUUUCAGUUUUAUACUAGACAAUUUCUUCGCUGCUACUCACCACAGUUUUCUGUUUCCUUAGAAAGGACAUAAUGCCCUGAGAUACACAGUCAUUGAUGACACCCUCUUUCCUGAACAUAAGCCUUAUGAUGUGCAAGAAUUUUUAACAGUGACCUCUGAAUUGGAAACAUAUUCAAAAAUAGAGACACAGAAUGAGGCUACCUUCUAUGAUCAGUCAGCUUAAGAAUAAUACCUCUCACCUUUUCCAUGGAAGAUGUUCAUCAGCACUCCAGAAACAAAGCUUUCUCACCCACCUGACUGUGCAGCACUUCAUUGUCAACAGCAGAGAGGAGGCACUGAUAAUGCAGCUGAAUCUGUGCUGAAUAUGGAGCUUAUAUGACAGCAGAACUGGACAAACUGCAUUCCCCAGUCUCCCAGCCAGACACUGUUAUUUGGAUUUACAGCUGGAGGUUAAAAGCAGUUCGAUGGGACACUGCAAAACAUGACUUACCCAUAGUUCUGCACACAAAAGCACUUUACUGAGCAGUAUAUUAUCACAAACUCUACUUUCACAGCUAUCAGUAAAGGCUUAAAACAAUUUUUCAACAUAAUCAUUAUCACUGUGUGUUAUAGAUGGAAAUUGAGAUGUCUGGAUUGCAUAAAGAGUCUUACAAUCUCUUUUCCAUAACAUGAGUAUGGGAUAAACCCAUAUUAAUGGUUAUGUACUUCUAUUUGUGGUAGCCAUCCCAUCUUACUAUAACGUAAAGGAGAAUUUGCACCUAAAACAUCAUGCUUAACAACAGGUAUCUUUUGCAAUUCUGUCCAGUCUUCUUUAAUCUUAUUUUUCUACUGCUUACCUUCAAAGCAUCCUGUGGCAAUAAGCAGUAUAUUUAUGCAGUCUUGAAAAUUUUAGUAUUUUUUCUUUAUCUCAGAUCUUUUGACCCAUAAUUUAAGUUUUUUCCUUUAGUUACUCUGUUACGAGAAGCAGUAAAUAUCAUUUCUGGUUCAUGGUGGUUUUUGACGUAAUUUUUCCCCUGAUAUCUUCUUGUUCAUACUGAGAAAUAAUAAUGAGGAUAGCCACAGCCCCAACAUUUGUGGCACACCAUUUCUACCAAAUUUUUCUGAUGGUACAAGCCACUUACAUUUGAUUUGUUUCAUUUUCCUUCCUUGGCUGUUCCUACCUUUUGUUAGACUUUCUGGCUUCCACUGAUCAUGGAGCUGGCAUUUACAUAGAGCUGUCCACAGUGACUCCUCUUUCUUCUCAUUGAGAAAAAAAAAACAGUCUUUAAGUGUAUAUAACACUGGUAUUUUCUUUCCAUGCACAAAACUCUGACUGUAUCGAUACUGACUUUCACCUCUUGUUUUAUUUCCCCAUUUCCCAUGCACCUGCUAACCUGGUAAUGAAAUUUUCCUUUUAUUUAUUUAUUUCUUUGUUUGUUUAUUUUGUCAGCUUUAGUUUAGUCCAUUUUAAGGCUUUCUUUGAGGAAAGCUUUUGCAUAAAGCUCAAAGAAAGUUAAAAACAGUUUGAGAAGAAAGAAUUUGGCUUUCAGUGACUUGGAUCAGAGUAUAUGUGGAACAUUGCUGAUCCAGGAUAAACAGUGGGAAAGCUAAAGCAAUAGUUUCCGAUUUUAAAAUGUUUUGGAUCGUGACACUUCAUCCUAAGUCUAAUAAUGACAGUCCUUUCUAAGCAGCAUUACAAAUAGGUUCCACAGAACAACCCUUUUCAACAAAGAUUUUCAAAAUUUCUAGGCAAUUAUUUUAUGUAAUACUCAGCUACAGGAACUUCCACUGAGCAAUGCUAGCUCCUCUGAAGUCUCAUGCCAUCAAUCAUCAUCCAUAUUGUUUUGAUCAAAAUAGAUUCACUGCACCAUGUUACCUGAUUGCACAGGAUAUUUUCUGAAAGUUUACUCAGUUAAAAGAUUGUAAGUGCAUAUUUUUACUGUGAUCCUUCAGUGUAGAGACGGCGAGCAGCAUCUCCCAUGUCACCAUGCAAAGUACAUGAAAGACCACAGCUGCAUUUCUGCAGUCUUGCAUCCUAUCAUCAUGAUGGCUAUAUACAGUCCUACUCACUCAGGAUAGCUGCAUUUUAGUAUAUGCAUUUCAUUUCUAGGUGUUUAUAUCAAAAUUUCAUUCAUGGGAGCAUUCUGUGUCAAGUACACCCAAGAUUCAAUAAAAAGAAUAUCAUGCCCAGAAAUAUAACCUAUAAAUAUCCUAAAAACAACCUAUAUAAAUCCUGCAGUUUUAUUCUGCCACAGCUGUUCAGUGAAGUACUGCAGCAUUAUCACUAUAUUUUGCAGAUAUUUACUGUGCCUGCUUUUGGCUGUCUCCAACUGGACA